CCUCCUGCAGGGCAAUAAAGGUAAAACAGGCGUGAUCAUCGCGGCCUACAUGCACUACAGCAAGAUCUCUGCAGGGGCGGACCAGGCUCUCAGUACUCUGGCCAUGAGGAAGUUCUGUGAAGAUAAGGUGUCCUCUUCUCUGCAGCCGUCCCAAAACAGAUACAUCUAUUACUUUGGGGGCCUUCUGUCGGGGGCCAUCAAGAUGAACAGCAGCCCUCUCUUCCUGCACCAGGUGCUCAUCCCGUCACUCCCCAACUUCCAGGGGGAAGGAGGUGAG